UACGUAGGGUGCGAGCGUUAAUCGGAAUUACUGGGCGUAAAGCGUGCGCAGGCGGCUUUGCAAGACAGAUGUGAAAUCCCCGGGCUUAACCUGGGAACUGCAUUUGUGACUGCAUGGCUGGAGUGCGGCAGAGGGGGAUGGAAUUCCGCGUGUAGCAGUGAAAUGCGUAGAUAUGCGGAGGAACACCGAUGGCGAAGGCAAUCCCCUGGGCCUGCACUGACGCUCAUGCACGAAAGCGUGGGGAGCAAACCGG
rnacentral:rRNA from 1 species